UUUAUAUGAAACAAAUUUUGACAGCUAAGUAUCUCUUCCUGCAUUUAACAUUUCAGAAUACUUUAAAUUUACUGGUAUCAGUUUUUGUUGUUAUGUUUAAAAAAUCUUAAAACGCGUGAGUUAGAUCAAUUUAAAGCUGUAUUGAAAUUAUUUAAAAUGAAAUUAUUUUGCAACAAAAAGACAUAUUCUGACGGCGGAUAUGGAUGGGUUGUUGUGUUGUGCGCUUUUUGUAUCGGAUUUAUCACAGAUGGAAUUACGUUUGCUUUCGGAAUUUUAUUGGUUGAGUUACUGGAUGUGUUUGAGCAAGGGCGAGCACCAACCCUGGCGAUUGGAUCAGUGAUGAGCGGCAUGAUGUACUGUAUAGGGCCACUAUCAGGGGCACUUUGUACGAAGUACGGAUACCGUGCUAUUGCAGUCAGUGGCAGUAUCAUUAGUACCAUAGGGUUUGUGAUCGGCUCUUUCUCAUCCAACAUUUUACAUCUAUGCCUGUCAUACGGAUUUCUUGGCGGUACCGGAUUUGGUCUGAUGUACCUGUCAGCAAACGUGUGCAUGAUGCAUCAUUUCGAAGAACGACAGGCUAUUGCCAACGGGCUUGCCAUGUGUGGCUCAGGCUAGUAUACAUUAUUAUUAUUAAAUACCUAUAUAAAUUCAAUCAAAAAUACAGCUUGUAUUUCACAAGGAAGUACGGACAGGCAGAAAAAAAGUACGUAUUGUACCAGUGCCGUAACCAGGCCUGAAAACACACCGAGGCAGAUUUUUGUCAAGAAAGAGUUGUAACAUAAUUACAUAUUUGUAUUAUCAUGUGUAUAUGAAUUAAUGUUUUGUGAUUGAUUUUAUUGACUUUUGAUGUCUAUUCAAAUCGUAUUACAUGUGUUAUAUACAUAUAUAUAUAUUGGCAUUUAAAUUUUGUCUUAAAGUUCUACAUGUAACCAAUAUGCCGGAUCACGAAUUCGUUUUACGAAGUUGUAAACAACAUUAUAUAAUAUGAGUGCUACAUCAGGUUUCUUAUUAACAUUUGUCUUAUAUUCCCCUCACGUACGUUUUAAUUCAUAAUUAAUAUUUUAAAAAAUAGUAAUAUGUUAAUUCAGACGUGAUAUAUAUGAUGUCUAUCAAAUCAAUAUUCUAAUUGGUACGUGAUAUGUAAUAUCUGUCAUGAUACCAAAGUAGAUAGAAAUUAUAACUUGACUUAAAAUUUUAGUAACUAUACGAUCACGGUUGUGGUUAGGUACAAACUACGAUUUUAAAGUGAACAAGUAAUUUGAGCAUUUUUGUCUUCUAUCUAUAAAAAUCAUAUGGAGUUAUGGCAUAUGUUAAGGCAGGGUUACAGUGACCAAUACUGAGAAGAAUUUGAAAUUCUGAAAGACAAAAUGGUGCAUUUUAAGUUAUUUCAGAUUUUAAAAAUCUAAACGAAACAGUUUCGAAAUGUACACACAACUCGCCUGCAGUUGUGGAGUACAAGCUGAAGUCGAAGGCGAACCUCCUUGAAAAUAUUUGACACUAUACAAUAUAUAGCUGUGCAUUUCAAGCGAUUUCAGACAAAAAUCUACACACUACUCGCUUGCAUACUCGUAAUUGGAGUACACAUAGAGGGUUGGGUUCGGGGUCCUCCCCGAGAAAUUGUGCAUUUUAAGCCAUCUUCGAAAACAUCUGAGUAAAUAAGGUUAAAAAGUAUGCACUAGUGGUCUACAUAAUUGGAAUAUAGGUAAAGAUGGUUUUUCAAGGUCCUCCCGAAGAAAUUUUGAAAUUAUAAAAGACAAACUGGUGCACUUUAAGACAUCAUUGAUAAAACAAUCUGAGAGAAUCAGGUUGAAAUGUACACAUUACCCGUCUGCCUUACUUGAGUACAAAAUGAAUCUGAGCAACUCAGGUUGACAGGUAUCAUUUCCAUCAAACUAUAUAUGGUUUGGGCAUUUCUUAAUGGGACACAUCAAAAUGAAUAUUCAGUACAUAGUUCUAUAUCCUAAAAUAGACAAAAAAUUAUAUAUAACAAAUGUAAUAUCCACGAAGAGGAUUUGAAAAAAAAACAAUUAACAAAAUAAAUUUGCUUCAUCGACCCAACUUCAUAGAAGAAUAUAUGGACUAGAUCUGCUAGUAGGUCUCUAUUGCACUUUCAUGAAAGCAGAAAAAACAGGUUAGAUAUUUGUUUCAAAUAUAUCUGUUUUGUUUAGAGCGGAAACAGAAAUUGUAAAUUUUAUAGAUAUAUCAAAUGUAACAAAAAACAAGUUGCUUAAAAAGCACAGAGGCAGCUGCCUCGGUAUGCCUCAACGUAGUUACGGCACUGUGUACCUUUUGUAUUGUAUGCUGCCGGACUAUUUUCAUUCAGUAUGCAUGCCCUGACAAAUUUUUAUAAAUAGCGCACACAAAAACUUUUAACAUCGAUAAAGUCGUUAUAUUGUAUCAAAACAACAACAAAAGGGUGGAGGUAUAUAAUAAAAGAGUCAUUAUAACAGUAGCUAGAUCUGGGAUUUUGUAUUAGGCUCUGGUGAAUUUCGUCCAGGUAGGAUGACACUCGGCGCUUGCGUGCCUUCGUGUGACCAGACCAUGGCAAAAUGCACUCAAGCCGAAUACAGCAUCCCAGAUCAAGUUACUAUUAUAAUAAGUUUAUUUUAUAUAUUCGUACAAAUGAAUAGAAUUGAAGAAAAGAAUAUACAGUUUGAGUUUUGACCGCUUCCUGGUAAAAUGGCACUUAAAUCUUGAAUAAAAGAUAAUCGAUAUCAAAUACAUAUUAACGUCGGUAUCUCGAUUUCCAAGGGAUCGAACAAUUUAUUUCAAGAUAAUCGAAAUUCGACAUAAAAUAAUAUCUCUGGACGGGACUUGAAAAUGUCUUCAAGAUAGCCCGAAUUUGAGAUAAGGAUAAGCGAGUUCGAUAUAUCGAGUUUCAAGUGGUACAUGGCAUUGAGUCUAUAAGAGCAUUACGAGAAGUAUGCUUAAACCAUUUUAAAAGUUGAAAGUAACUGUAAAUUACCCUAAGAUUAAUCUUCAGGAGCCGGUGCAUUUGCCUUUAAUCAUUUAACAAACUUUCUUUUGGAAUCUUUUGGAUGGAGAGGAACUCUGCUUUUAACUGGCGGAAUUGUGCUAAAUGGAGUAGUUUUCGGAUUGCUUCUACUACAGCCAACAACGGCGAUUGUAGUUGUAGACCUCCAUUCUGAUCCUAACACGGCAGGGAAACUGAAUAUAAAAGAGGAGACUGGACAAUGCAGUAAACCUUUGAGAGCUAUCAAGACAUUUUGCGAACAGACAUUUAAAGAAAUCCUGUUCAAAGAUGUCAGUUGUUUCAUUUUCUUUGUGUCGGUGUUUCUGUACUCGUUUGGGCGCGAUGUUCCUUUCAAGUCUUAUACCAGACCAAGUGACUGAACUGGGUAUGAGCAUAACUCAGGGCAGCAUUGGCUAAUUUCUGUGGCAGAUCAAAGAUUGAAUACAUACAGUGCAACGUUUCACAUGCCAGAGUCAGAAUGGACCAGAAUAACCAAUACUGUAAGCCGAGCAGGUUUUGGCUGGAUAGGAUAUCGACAAUGUAUAAAAAGGAUGGUUAUGCUUGAAAUACUUAUAUAUCUUUUAGGAAUAUCAACAGGGUUGUCGUUCCUACUUACAUCUUUCGAAACAAAAUUGUUGUAUAUGAGCAUGUAUGGAAUUUUUACAGGUGGUUAUAACUCACUUCGCCGUAUUGUUCUCGCGGAUAUUUUUGGAAUGGAGAUGUUAGAUAAAACAUUUGGACUGAUGAUGUUGAUAAUAGCAAUUGCAGAUGCAGUCUCUACGCCGUCUCUCGGUCACUACUUAAAGCAAGAAAAGGAUUUACAGUUUGUAAUUUGUCAUUUAAGGUUGGCUGUUUGACAUAACAGGAAAUUACAACAUGUCCUUCAUCGUCACUGGAGCGGUUUUUAUAUUCGGUGGAAUUCUGAUGUUGAUUCCACGAAUUCUAUAAUUCAAGAAAAAGCCUUACAAUUUGCAUGCAUGAGGUUAUUCCAAUGGCUUGAAAAUUGUUACCAUAUUUUACAGUAUGUCAUUGAAACAUAUAAUAUUUCAUAAUUAAAAACAAAUCAGAAGUUUAAUUAAUUCUACAAACACUCGUCAAUAUAUACUAGUACGUAACUCCAUGGUUUAAUUUUACGCAAAAACAUAAUGCGCAGGCUGGUCUGGAUCCAUGCUGGUCGCAAACCCACUAUGUUGGUUUUUUCAUGGCGCGGCUCAUAUGUCUCACACAAAAGUUGUGUUUCAUAGUAUCUUAAGUACAAGGCAAAAAUAUACUGUCUAAUCAUUAACGUGUGAUAUGGACCUUCAAGCGUGCCUUAAAGAAUUUUCUCUUGCUACAAAAGUUUUUAGCAAUUUAUUACUUUAAAUAACAAGAAUUUAUUGAAUUAAUGUUAUUUGUUUCCAAUUAGCGUGAAUGUUGAAUAAUUCGGUUAACAAUAACAAUAUUAAUUGUAUUAUCUUAUAAUCCAAAUCUGGAAGAUGUAUAUUAUUUUGGGACAGACUUUCCUUUUUUGCACGAAUCAACUGUGAAUUAAUCUUUGUGACGCGUGGUAAAUUUUUUUGCGCUAGGUUUGCAAUCGGUAGAUUUUCAUGAAAUAUGUCGCAAAGGUUUGAAGUUUUAAAGCCCAAUGUUUGUUAUCGUUUUGAUAACUUUAUCCAUCUUAUGCGGUUACAAAUUAUGGCAACUUUUCUGUUAUAUACAUGCAGGUAUUGUUACACAAAACGGGGAUUGUGAUAAUCAAAUGCUAGACUUCUUUUAAAACGUGGUUAUUGUUAUACUUAUAAUGUGUGUAUUUGAGACGUGUUUGUCGAAGAAAUAUUUAAGUAAUAUAAAUGUUAUAUAAUAUAUUUUAGUGAUAUGUGUAUUUUUGUAUAAAUGUUUGAUUAUAAAUUGACUGUUUGAUUGUGUAGAUGUAUGAAUGUAUAUGAAAUGUAACCCUUACCCUGCUAAAUUUCUUAAAUGGACUGGUCCAUCAUUCAAUUUGGGCAAUACCAUUUGUUAUUCGAAGGGAUAUUCACUGAAGAUUUGAUAACUGAAUAGCGAACAGUGCAGACCAUGAUCAGCUUGCACGGAUGUGCAGGCUGAUCUUGGUCUGCACUGGUCGCAAAGACAGAACCACUUGCCGCCAGCAGGUUAAAGGUUAAUUGAAGGCCAUACUGGAAAUAAGUUGUAUAAUAUUUGUAUUUGUACACUUAGUAUGUAACCAUCAGAAAAUAAAGAUGUUAUCUUAACUUAUAACAAGUGUGUAUGUAUGAUAAGUUAAGGCAUAUUUCCCAUAUUGUGAUGCACUGCCUCGUCUCCAAUUUGAACGCGGAAUAUAGUAUAUAGGAUAUUGUAUCUCAUCGAGCAGCCCUGACCGAUGAAAAACGCUGAAAUUUGCAUUCUGCAUAUCGUUUUAAAUAUCAUGUUGAAUACUUGUAUCAAAUUAUUAUACAACUAUUCCAUGGAAGAAAAUGAUCAAGCGCGGAUAAUAAAACCGUGAGUGUAAUUGAGCUUAUUGUGCGACCGUGAAAUGAUACAUGACUUUAAAUGUUACAGUCUCAUGUCAAACGUCACGUUUAAUUGAUCUCGGCUUACGACUUAACCCUGAAUUAGCACAGCUGACGGUUACAUUCUCAUUCUACAUGUCGCCUGCUGAAAAACGAUUUAUCGUAUCUCUAUUUUUUUUCAAAAUUGACAUAUUGGUGCAGUUGGAUCAGAUCUGAAAUGCUGUAUGUCCUGUCACAUCCCUUACUUACCUAGUUGGUCCCGUUUUCACGUAUAUUGAAAACAUCAAAAUGUCGUAUCUCCAUACGUUUAACCACCUUUUCCGAAACAGUAUGUCUUAUUUCAAUCAGCCAAUCAAGUAUCAGAAUGUUGUCACAAUCAGCCAAUCAAGUAACAGAAUGUUGUCACGUGAUAAAAAUUGCUAAAUCUGAAGUCACGGUCGUAUCUCCAAAACUUGGGUUCUGCAUUAAAAAAUAAAAUGUCGCAAGUCCAACUCAUACUGAGCACUCUCUAUGAGAAAAUGUUUACCUACAAACAAUCAAAUCAUAAUUUUAUAUGAACAACAAACGCUGAAGAGAAUUUAAAAGGGCAGACGUUGCCUAUAAUAUACUCAAAGUAUAGCUGCUUUGGAGUUUUCAAAAGACCUUUUGUAACAAAAACGUUUUGGCAAGUUGAAACUUCGAUUUUCUCGAAAAGUGAAAAGUGGUAGUUGCGACAAAUCGUUUUUCAGGAGGCGAUGUCUCGGUUAAUUGAUCACAGCUUAAGACUUAGCCCUGAACUUACGUGGCUACAAUGUAAGUUACAUUAGCUUAUGACUUAACCCUGAAUUAACGUGGCUAAGU
rnacentral:misc_RNA from 1 species